UACAGAGGGGGCAAGCGUUGUUCGGAAUUACUGGGCGUAAAGGGCGCGUAGGCGGCCCGCUAAGUCGAACGUGAAAUCCCCGAGCUCAACUCGGGAACUGCGUCCGAUACUGGCGGGCUUGAAUCCGGGAGAGUGAUGCGGAAUUCCAGGUGUAGCGGUGAAAUGCGUAGAUAUCUGGAGGAACACCGGUGGCGAAGGCGGCAUCCUGGACUGGUACUGACGCUCAGGAGCGAAAGCGUGGGGAGCGAUCCGG
rnacentral:rRNA from 1 species